ACAACAAACAUGCGUCGUGCACGGCACAAAGACGCUAUUGGACCCGGUCCACUUAUACUUGUACGACACAAGGACUUAUACAUGCUAUACCCAUAAAUACUCGUGCGAAGCACGGAUACAUACAAAGGGCGAUGCCUGUUCUAACACAUUAUGAACUCAAGAAGUGUAUAUAUAUAUAAUAAAACGAACAUACGAAACAAAUGUCAACAUAUUUAAAAUACACAAGGGUUCCAUAUACAAUAAUGUUCAAGAUGAGCAACGUGUACAUAAAUUAACAUAAACCCAAGUGUCUAAUGAGUUAGAGCACUUGUAGGUUAUUACGCGCUAAUUGGAUACCCGAACUGCUAGCAUACAUACGGACGCAAACUUGUAACUAAGUGGAUCUUGGUGCAACAAAUUAUGAAGUUUCAAGUUUACUAUGAAGACGAUGUCAUCCGUAUUUUGGAGGGUUUGAUCCAUAUAUCCCGUCUUCGAACGGGACAUAGGAUGCAAAACCUCGUUAUUUCAAAAACUUUAUUUUGAACAAGUCUUGUUUGUAGAACUUAUAAACUUAUGUUGUCUUUUGCUACAAAACAACUUUUGACUUGUAUCUUUACAUUAUGGAAUGGAUGAACAUCGUGUAUGUUUUAUAUCAUAUAGUUUGUUUACUUA